rnacentral:misc_RNA from 1 species
GAAAAUGGUUGGAUGAUCCUAAAGUUGAAGGUAGAUGAUGAAUAAGUUAUUAUCCUACACACUGAAUUAACUGUGGAUCUUAAAUCUCCGCUUAUUAUCUGAUGCCUUCUCUAUCUCCAAUAAAAUUUUUAUGCUUUUCUUUUGUUGUUUAGAGAAAUUUUAACUUGAUAUGUUCACAAUGAUGAGAAAAAGCAGACGGGCGGUCAGAAACUGAUGCCGUGUUGAUUGUCUGCAUUAUCCACUCAUGGAAUAUCUCUGAGAUUUCAUUUGCAAUUUGCUUUCUUUUUCUUAAUACCAUUAUUUUACAUCCAUUACUUAAUUGAUUUCAUGGACAUGCCUUUGGUUUUCCCCAUGCGCCUGCAAUGAUGAAGUUGCUGAAAUAUGUCUGGACAUAUGAAACUUAAUGAUUUUUAUGCAUCUUCUGAGCAGAACUAUAUGUGCAUGAUUAUCAUUUUUGUUUAUUUUGGCCUAAGGAUGAUGUGGCUAGUAAAUUUUCUGGAUUGGCAUUUGCAUAUGCCUAUUUAUAGGCAUUCCCCUACCCUAACUAAAAUUGGUAUUAUUGAUAAGUUCUUAUUAAUUUUUCCUUCUUACCUACACAAAAACAGGAAAGACUACAUAAGUAUGG